CCUACGGGAGGCUGCAGUGGGGAAUAUUGGACAAUGGGCGAAAGCCUGAUCCAGCCAUGCCGCGUGUGUGAAGAAGGCCUUCGGGUUGUAAAGCACUUUCAGUGGGGAAGAAAGCCUUGGGGCUAAUACCCUCGAGGAAGGACAUCACCCACAGAAGAAGCACCGGCUGAACUCCGUGCCAGCAGCCGCGGUAAUACGGAGGGUGCGAGCGUUAAUCGGAAUUACUGGGCGUAAAGCGCGCGUAGGCGGUCUGAUAAGCCGGGUGUGAAAGCCCCGGGCUCAACCUGGGAACGGCAUCCGGAACUGUCAGGCUAGAGUGCAGGAGAGGAAGGUAGAAUUCCCGGUGUAGCGGUGAAAUGCGUAGAGAUCGGGAGGAAUACCAGUGGCGAAGGCGGCCUUCUGGACUGACACUGACGCUGAGGUGCGAAAGCGUGGGUAGCAAACAGGAUUAGAUACCCCGGUAGUC
rnacentral:rRNA from 1 species